GACGAACGCUGGCGGCGUGCUUAACACAUGCAAGUCGAACGGAAAGGCCCUGCUUUUGUGGGGUGCUCGAGUGGCGAACGGGUGAGUAACACGUGAGUAACCUGCCCUUGACUUUGGGAUAACUUCAGGAAACUGGGGCUAAUACCGGAUAGGAGCUCCUGCUGCAUGGUGGGGUUUGGAAAGUUUCGGCGGAUGGGGAUGGACUCGGGGCUUAUGAGCUUGUUGGUGGGGUAGUGGCUUACCAAGGCUUUGACGGGUAGCCGGCCUGAGAGGGUGACCGGCCACAUUGGGACUGAGAUACGGCCCAGACUCCUACGGGAGGCAGCAGUGGGGAAUAUUGCACAAUGGGCGGAAGCCUGAUGCAGCAACGCCGCGUGCGGGAUGACGGCCUUCGGGUUGUAAACCGCUUUCGCCUGUGACGAAGCGUGAGUGACGGUAAUGGGUAAAGAAGCACCGGCUAACUACGUG
rnacentral:rRNA from 1 species